GACGAACGCUGGCGGCGUGCUUAACACAUGCAAGUCGAACGGAAAGGCCCUGCUUUUGUGGGGUGCUCGAGUGGCGAACGGGUGAGUAACACGUGAGUAACCUGCCCUUGACUUUGGGAUAACUUCAGGAAACUGGGGCUAAUACCGGAUAGGAGCUCCUGCUGCAUGGUGGGGGUUGGAAAGUUUCGGCGGUUGGGGAUGGACUCGCGGCUUAUCAGCUUGUUGGUGGGGUAGUGGCUUACCAAGGCUUUGACGGGUAGCCGGCCUGAGAGGGUGACCGGCCACAUUGGGACUGAGAUACGGCCCAGACUCCUACGGGAGGCAGCAGUGGGGAAUAUUGCACAAUGGGCGGAAGCCUGAUGCAGCAACGCCGCGUGCGGGAGGACGGCCUUCGGGUUGUAAACCGCUUUCGCCUGUGACGAAGCGUGAGUGACGGUAAUGGGUAAAGAAGCACCGGCUAGCUACGU
rnacentral:rRNA from 1 species